rnacentral:rRNA from 1 species
CGCAUUGUAAUCUCAAGAAGUGUUUUCCGCUUCGGACCAAGCCUAAGUCCCUUGGAAAAGGGCAUCAUAGAGGGUGAUAAUCCCGUACAUGGCUUGGAGCGCCCGAAGCUUUGUGAUACGCUUUCUAAGAGUCGAGUUGUUUGGGAAUGCAGCUCAAAAUGGGUGGUAAAUGCCAUCUAAGGCUAAAUAUUGGGGAGAGACCGAUAGCGAACAAGUACAGUGAUGGAAAGAUGAAAAGAACUUUGAAAAGAGAGUUAAACAGUACGUGAAAUUGCCAAAAGGGAAGGGUAGGAGGUCAGAGAUGCGGCCUGGGAUUCAGCCUUGCUUUUGCUUGGUGUUUUUCCCAGAUUGCAGGCCAACGUCGGUUUUGGGCACUGGAGAAGGGUAGGAGGAACGUGGCACCUCUCGGGGUGUGUUAUAGCCUCCUACUGGAUACAGCGACCGAGACCGAGGACAGCAGCGUACUCGCAAGAGCGGGCCUUCGGGCACCUUUACGCUUAGGGC